UGAAAUUUCACAUGUGAAUUUGGAACAUGUGAUUUUACACAUGUGAAAUUUCACAUCUGAAAUUAUGUUUCACAUGUUCCAAAUUCACAUGUGAAACUUCA